rnacentral:tRNA from 1 species
UCCCUUCUGGUCCAGUGACCAAGACUCUGUGCUCCCAAUGCAGAGGGUCCAGGUUCAAUCCCUGGUCAGGGAA